rnacentral:rRNA from 1 species
AGAGUUUGAUCCUGGCUCAGGAUGAACGCUGGCGGUAUGCUUAACACAUGCAAGUCGAACGAAAUCUUUAGGGAUUUAGUGGCGGACGGGUGAGUAACGCGUAAGAAUCUACCUUCAGGUCGGGGACAACCACUGGAAACGGUGGCUAAUACCGGAUGUGCCGAGAGGUGAAAGGCUUGCUGCCUGAAGAAGAGCUUGCGUCUGAUUAGCUAGUUGGUAGUGUAAGAGACUACCAAGGCGACGAUCAGUAGCUGGUCUGAGAGGAUGAUCAGCCACACUGGGACUGAGACACGGCCCAGACUCCUACGGGAGGCAGCAGUGGGGAAUUUUCCGCAAUGGGCGAAAGCCUGACGGAGCAAUACCGCGUGAGGGAGGAAGGCUCUUGGGUUGUAAACCUCUUUUCUCAGGGAAGAACAAAAUGACGGUACCUGAGGAAUAAGCAUCGGCUAACUCCGCGCCAGCAGCCGCGGUAAUACGGAGGAUGCAAGCGUUAUCCGGAAUGAUUGGGCGUAAAGAGUCCGUAGGUGGCAUUGAAAGUCUGCUGUUAAAGAGUCUAGCUCAACUAGAUAAGAGCAGUGGAAACUACAAAGCUAGAGUUUGGUCGGGGCAGAAGGAAUUCCUGGUGUAGCGGUGAAAUGCGUAGAGAUCAGGAAGAACACCGGUGGCGAAGGCGUUCUGCUAGGCCGAGACUGACACUGAGGGACGAAAGCUAGGGGAGCGAAUGGGAUUAGAUACCCCAGUAGUCCUAGCCGUAAACGAUGGAUACUAGGCGUAGCUCGUAUCGACCCGAGCUGUGCCGGAGCUAACGCGUUAAGUAUCCCGCCUGGGGAGUACGCAGGCAACUGUGAAACUCAAAGGAAUUGACGGGGGCCCGCACAAGCGGUGGAGUAUGUGGUUUAAUUCGAUGCAACGCGAAGAACCUUACCAAGGCUUGACAUGUCACGAAUCUUGUGGAAACAUAGGAGUGCCUUCGGGAGCGUGAACACAGGUGGUGCAUGGCUGUCGUCAUCUCGUGUCGUGAGAUGUUGGGUUAAGUCCCGCAACGAGCGCAACCCUCGUUUUUAGUUGCCAGCAUUAGGUUGGGCACUCUAGAGAGACUGCCGGUGACAAACCGGAGGAAGGUGGGGAUGACGUCAAGUCAGCAUGCCCCUUACGUCUUGGGCUACACACGUACUACAAUGCUACGGACAAAGGGCAGCUACACAGCGAUGUGAUGCGAAUCUCAUAAACCGUAGCUCAGUUCAGAUCGAAGGCUGCAACUCGCCUUCGUGAAGGAGGAAUCGCUAGUAAUUGCAGGUCAGCAUACUGCAGUGAAUUCGUUCCCGGGCCUUGUACACACCGCCCGUCACACCAUGGAAGUUGGUCACGCCCGAAGUCAUUACCUCAAC